rnacentral:rRNA from 1 species
UGCAAGUCGAACGGUGACGAUGGAGCUUGCUCUGUCUGAUCAGUGGCGAACGGGUGAGUAACACGUGAGUAACCUGCCCCCGACUCUGGAAUAACCGUGGGAAACGACGGCUAAUACCGGAUAUGAGACGCACAGGCAUCUGUGGGUCUGGAAAGAUUUAUCGGUCAGGGAUGGACUCGCGGCCUAUCAGCUUGUUGGUGGGGUAAUGGCCUACCAAGGCGACGACGGGUAGCCGGCCUGAGAGGGCGACCGGCCACACUGGGACUGAGAUACGGCCCAGACUCCUACGGGAGGCAGCAGUGGGGAAUAUUGCACAAUGGGCGCAAGCCUGAUGCAGCGACGCCGCGUGAGGGAUGAAGGCCUUCGGGUUGUAAACCUCUUUCAGCAGGGAAGAAGCGAAAGUGACGGUACCUGCAGAAGAAGCGCCGGCUAACUACGUGCCAGCAGCCGCGGUAAUACGUAGGGCGCAAGCGUUGUCCGGAAUUAUUGGGCGUAAAGAGCUCGUAGGCGGUUUGUCGCGUCUGCUGUGAAAACCUGAGGCUCAACCUCGGGCUUGCAGUGGGUACGGGCAGACUAGAGUGCGGUAGGGGUGACUGGAAUUCCUGGUGUAGCGGUGGAAUGCGCAGAUAUCAGGAGGAACACCGAUGGCGAAGGCAGGUCACUGGGCCGCAACUGACGCUGAGGAGCGAAAGCAUGGGGAGCGAACAGGAUUAGAUACCCUGGUAGUCCAUGCCGUAAACGUUGGGCACUAGGUGUGGGGCUCAUUCCACGAGUUCCGUGCCGCAGCAAACGCAUUAAGUGCCCCGCCUGGGGAGUACGGCCGCAAGGCUAAAACUCAAAAAAAUUGACGGGGGCCCGC